rnacentral:rRNA from 1 species
UACGUAGGGAGCGAGCGUUGUCCGGAUUUAUUGGGCGUAAAGCGCGCGUAGGCGGUUUGGUAAGCCGGGUGUGAAACCCUCGAGCUCAACUCGGGGCGGCCACUCGGAACUGCUGAUGACUUGAGUCUGGUAGGGGAACACGGAAUACCUGGUGUAGCGGUGAAAUGCUUAGAUAUCAGGUGGAACACCCAGUGGCGAAGGCGGUGUUCUGGGCCAGUACUGACGCUGGAGGCGACGAAAGCGUGGGGAGCGAACAGG